rnacentral:lncRNA from 1 species
CACAGCCUUCCUCUAAGAGCUUGGAGCAGAAAGCCAGGAUUUGGGAUCCGAAGCAGGACGUGCAGACCUACGAGGGGCUGCGGACGGAGGCACCGGAGGGCACUUCUCACCUCCGGGUGUGCCGGGAGGGGCACGCGGACCGAGCUUGCAAAUGCAGGAUGGGGUCCCAGUAGAUCUUUGCUCAUCGUCUUCCCAGGACCAGAAGCGAACGGCGGCAGAUAGUUGCUAGGAAUUUCGGAUUAUUUAAAAACAAACAAACAAACAAACAAAAGCCCUCAUCCAUCUGAGAGCAAGGACGUCUGGUUUGGGGCAGGGAAACAGAAACCCCGUGGCGAGAAGAAAUUCCUCCUCCGUUUGCUCUUUGGAAGGGUAAGCGUGUGCGUACUUUUAAAUGAGUAGCAGCAAACUUCUAACUGAGAAAAGAAAAACUGAAGGACUAAAAUACUCUUGGGCAAAGUGAAAUAAGGAUACUGUGGGUUUGCGAGUUUUCCAAGAAGGGGUCCCGAGAUGUGGCUUGCUCGCCAGCAGGGGGCACGUUUUCUUUAGGAUUGCGUCCCAGAAUCUCGAAACCUCGCAGCCGGACUCUCUCCGAGUCCCAUCGCCGGAAAUCGCUCUGCAGAUAAUAACCCUCCGGUGUCUGGAAAUGUUUAAUUACCGCGAACUCUCCUUCCUCCAGCGCCACCCGCCGCCGGUGCAGCCCGGAAGGACCCAGCGCCGCGGGUGCAGUAGGUGGCUCUAUC